ensembl:snRNA U6 U6 spliceosomal RNA
CUCAUUUCAGCAAGAUAUACAUGAAAAAUGGAACAACACUGGGAUGGUAGCAUGGCCCCUGAGCAAGGAUGGCACACAAAGUUUGUCAAGGAUUCUGUAUUUCC